GGCGUGAGGGCGCGGGAGGGGGCACUGGGGCGACAUCCCCGCGGUGGCGUCGCGAGCGGAGACCCGGCCCCUCGGUGUGGGAGAUGGCCCUACGAGUUUGUCUUGAGCGCCGGGCGGACACGGCCGCGGGGUGCGAAAGGGCCGUUUAUCCGGAAGAGGGGAGCCGGGCCUGGGCAGCGGCAGCACGUCAGAGCCCAGGGGCCUCUGAAUACUCGUGAGGGAGCGCCCUGCUCCCUCUACCCAGCUUGUCGAGGUGGACCGUGCACUCCCCCUGGGGCAAAUGUGUGGGCACGUCGCCCGUGACGACGAUGUCACCACUGUUUUUUCAGGUAGUGCCACAGCCCUCUUUACGUGGUGCACUGCCUCUACCUGGUCCUCCUGCAGGGGAGGCUGAGUGUAGCCCCUGUGCUAACGCGGCCCUUCUUAGUGGGCAGGUUUAGACGCUAGUUUUUGGCUUGGGCAGCUGCAUUUGUAGGCUGGAUUUCCUUUGUGAGGUGAAAAUGAUUAGGUCUUGCAGGGACGUUGUGAAUAUUCUGGGUUGAGUAGUGAGGGGUCCCAACUGCCGUGUCCUGUGCCUGCGGGUAUUUCUCCUAAUAUAAUCUUGUAUCUGUUAGUUUAGGAUUUACAUACGCUCGCUCUCUUUUUUUUUUUUUCUUGGUUCUCUUCCUUUUCACCCACUUCCCUACCAACUCCUGCUCAUCUCAGACGUCACUUCCUCUGAGAAGCCUCCCCUCUUAUCAGGACCCAUGUGGGCCUCUUUUCCACCUGCUCACGGGGUCAUUUCCCUGGUCCCAUCACACCUACUGUCACUGGUACUUCAAUCCAUCAGCAUCCUAAUGGUGGGGUCCACAUGAUCCUUAAGGUCCUAAGGAUGUGGCAGUCACUGGCCUUCCCUCCCCCUUCCCUUCAGGGAGCUGUGGCUGGGACCUCCCCUCUGGCUGAUCAAGGAGGAGGAAGCAGCGAUGUCUGCCUUAGGGACUGCAGCUCCAUACCUGCAUCAUCCUGCUGACAGUCACAGUGGCCGGGUCAGUUUUCUGGGGCCCCAAGUCCCUCCAGAGGUGGCAGCAAUGGCCCGGUUUCUGGGAGACCUGGACAGGAGCACAUUCAGAAAGUUGCUGAAGCUUGUGGUUAGCAGCUUGCAGGGAGAGGACUGCCGAGAGGCCAUGCAGCACCUGGGUGCCAGUUCCAGCCUGCCAGAGGAGCAGUUAGGUGCCCUACUUGCUGGCACACACACACUACUCCAACAGGCUCUCCGGCUUCCCUCUCCCAGCCUGAAGCCUGAUGCCUUCAAGGACCAACUCCAGGAGCUCGGCAUCCCCCAAGACCUGGUUGGGGACUUGACCAGUGUGGUUUUUGGUGGUCAGCGCCCCCUCCUGGACUCUGUGGCCCAGCAGCAGGGUUCCUGGCUUCCCCACAUUGCUGACUUUAAGUGGAGGGUGGAUGUGGCAAUUUCCACCAGUGCCCUGGCCCGCUCCCUGAAGCCAAGCAUCUUGAUGCAGCUGAAGCUUUCAGAUGGGUCAGCAUAUCGCUUCGAGGUUCCCACAGCCAAGUUCCAGGAACUGCGGUACAGUGUGGCGCUGGUCCUGAAGGAGAUGACAGAUCUGGAGAGGAGGUGCGAUCGCAGACUGCAGGACUGAGCCUCCCUUGUCAGCAUUGCAGCUGGUGCCAGAAUGCAACUUGCAUUUCCUCUAGUUGGAUGCUAGACUGCAUGUCACCCCUUCCCCAGGUUUUUUUUGUUGUUGUUGUUGUUGUUGCUUCUGAGUGUGGUAAAGUGACAGUCUGGGGUCCAAAUCAGGGUCCUCUGAAUAUGCCUUUGCUCAGCCUGACCCCACUAAGCAUCUGGGCCCUUUUUCUUGUUUGCUUUCAUAAAUGCUGUUUUUGGUGUGGGCACUUUUGUCUGUCUUAAAUCCCUGCCCUUGUGGGGCUGAUAUCGUUGUGGGUUGGGAAGCGGGGGAAACAUUACAAAAUGCAUAGUAAACAGUGGGUACAGCUUAUCAAGGGGUGACAAAUGUGUACUUAGUUUUGAGCAAGGUGGGGUAUAGGCUGUGAGGACAUGCCUGCCCCUAUACGCUGUAUCAUGGCUGGACUUCCUGGAGAACAUGGUAUCUGAGCAGACUUGAAAGACAGGAGUUGGGGGAAUGAAGUCCACUGGGGGACCAGCUGGUGCACAGGUGAUGAGUAGAGAGAGACCAGGUAUAUUGGAUGUCACGUGCCUCCAACCAAGUAGGAGGAGGUCAUUGGAGGGAGGUAAAGCUGGGGAGGGUACACAGGUCAGGUCUGAGAAAUUCUGCUCAAAGUAUUGUGGUUGAAGUCUAAGCCAAAGUGGGAGUCCCUGAGGGUUUUCAACAGAGGAAGGAUGUACUCUGGUGGUUGUUUUAGAAGGAUAACACUUCUAUUAUUUUAAAGGAUAACAUUAUCCAGGGGUGGUGGUAAAUAUGUGUAAUCCCAGGCACUUGGGAGGCUGAGGCAGGAAGAUUGCAAGUUCAAGACCAGCCUCAGCAACUUAUUGAGACCUUUUCUCAAAAUUAAAAAUAAAAAGGAUGGGGAUGUAGCUCAGUGAUAGAGUGCCCCUGGGUUCAUUAUCCAGUUCCAUGAAAAUAAAUAAGUAAAAGGAUAAUACUGUUUCUGUGUUUAGAGUAGUAUGUAGGGGAACAGGGAGGAGGUUGAGAGUCCACUAUGAGGGGUGCUGUUGUAAGGUGGAGCUGCUGGAUAGGGUAGGGGGCCUUUCUGAGUGCCUCCAGGGUAGCUAUGUUGGGGGGGGGGUGUAUGGCCAGCUUUGUAGUCCUCAGAAUAGCCAUUCUCUGGCUAGGGGUCUUAGGGCUGUCAGACUAUCUGCUUGAGGGGUCCCUGCUUCCUGCACUUUUUUAGUCUACAUCUGGUUGGUUCUCUGCUGAGAAACCAGUUCAUACAUCUCAUAGGAUAAUCAGGCCUAAGUGCAGGAACUUCUGAGAACAGCAAAUAAAGUUUGCUGUUCCGGGCCAGCCUGUUACUCACAUAGGCUGUUUGAAAAAUGCUUGGUUUCUUCCAUCUCAGUGAACACCUUUUUUUCUCUUGAGUGAGAACUACAGCUGUGGCAACUUAGGUGUGGGCCACAGGGAAAGGAAAAGGCUGCCUUUUGAGGACAGAGGGCUGCCAGGGAGGCUGCUGUGUUUCUAGAGCUGGAGGAUUCACAGGCCUGGCUCAGCUAAGGGUGCAGAAUGCCCCUGUGUCCUUCAGCCUCAGCUGGGUCCCCCAGGACCACUGGCCCACCUUGAAGGGAACAAGGAGAUCCAGACCCGCAAAAAAGGAUGUACACAAGUAAGCAGAGUGCCCAUGUCAACCUUAUCCAGUGACAGAGCUUUUUAUGUCACAUACUUAUGAUCUCAACUAUUAGAUGUGUUGGAGACUAUGUACUCAUGAUACAUUUGGAAAUAAAACAGGAAUGUAGGGACAAAAAUUUUUUACUUAAGUCCCUCCAUACAGUGGCACUGAGGCCAGAGGAUCCCAAGUUUGAAGCCAGCCUGGCAACCUAGUGAGACCCUGCAUCAAAAUAAAAAUUUAAAAAUGGCUGGGAAUGUAGUUCAGUGGUGGAGUGUGCCUGGGUUCAAUACCCAGUACUGGAAAGAAAAAAAAAGUCCCUUUGCCCACAUGUAAAGCAUCUUGACACUGCUAUGAGUCUAUCUAACUGUCCACAUGGCUCUGUGGUAAAGUUCAAUCCCCAGUACUAAAAAACAAAAACAAAAAGAACAGAGAAAGAAAGGUGCCAGGCAAAGCAGUCAGAGUGAAUUCUAGGCACACCACUUCUGGACUUCUAACAUGAGCCCAAACACGUCGGCUUCACUUGCUUUAUCUUUUCAAGCUUUUUCACGAAAACAAACUUACAGCCCUUACCUCCACUGGCCAGGGCUCUAGGCACACACUGAAAGGGCAGAGGCAGAGGACUUGGAGAAGCAGGUAAUACCAUGUUCCACCUCACAGAGGGGCUUUGAUGUACCCUGAAUAGAACUGAGUCAAGACCCUUCACUUAGUAGUCUUCGUGUCUGCUUCUUAAGGAGGGAGAAAAACUGUUAAGGAAAACUGUAUUCAGGAUGUAAUGCUUUGUAAGGUCAACUACCCAGGACCACCUCAGAAGGCAGAGGGGAGAUGGCAGCCCAGGCACAUGGGGACAUAUAGGCCAUGAAGCUGGUGGGGGAGUGGAUGGAUAAGAAAACUUGAGUUUAAGGGGACUUCUGGUGAAACUGACCUAUCAGGGUUCUUGUUAAAAUGGGACAGUGCAUAAAAGAACAUGGAAGCUGGAAAGUUGUUAUGGUGAGCAAGCUAUGCCAUUAACACAGACUGCUCAUAUUUGUAAAUUCCACAAUAUCAGAAUUUGUUGAAUAAAUUCACAGGCUACAUCAGUUUUUUCAUCACCGUUAAUUUACUGAUACUUAUGGUGUGACUGUGGUAAUCACAAAUUAUUCUGUUCCAAUUUUAAUUACUAAUAUCGUUAACACCAAAGUGGAUUUAUAAGUUACAGAACCGUUAGGGAAGGGAUAACCAUGGCCUCAGAGUUUGUUUAUUGCAGUGCUGGGGAUGGAACCAAGAGCCUUGUGCUUGCCGGGUAAGAGCUCUCUACCCAUGAGCUAUAUCUCCAAUCAACCCUUUUUUAUUUUAAGACAUGUCUAAGUUGGCUAAGCUAUUCUUAACUUGCAAUCCUCCUGCAUCAGCCUCCCGAAUCGUGCGCUUUUUUAAAAAAACAUUUUUAGUUAUUAACACAAUGCCUUUAUUUUAUCUAUUUAUUUUUAUAUGGUGCCAAGAGUCGAACCCAGGGUCUCGCACGUGCUAGGCGAGCGCUCUACCGCUGAACCACAACCCCAGCUCCAGCCCUGCCGUCUUUUUGUAAGGUUUAUUUUUUGCAGCACUGGGAAUGGGUCCCCAAAAUCCAGGCCAGCGCUGCACACUGAGCCGCAGCACACCCCCAGGUUGUGCAUAGCCAAUUUGGGGCGUCAAGGUCAUCCCUUAGCUUCACCUUAUUUUUACUUCCCAGUAACCCCGCCGUACUGCCUCCUCCAUUUUACCAAGUGCUACUUUGAACUAACCUAUUGACACUGUCGGGAGACUGCGGAGAUGAAGCACCUGUAGUGCGGAGCCGGGCGGGCUGAAGCCGCAGGUGGGGCAGGACUGCCGUUCCCCUCCAGCAGUCCGCGGACCACCGUUGGCUUGGGUCCUUGGAGUCCUAGACCAGCCCCGGAAAUGAGCGGGGCUGGGCUUCAUCCCGCUUCCGGCUCUCGGUCUCCAGGGAAGGGCUGCCUGCGCAUGCGCAGCUAGAUCGUCUCGCCCCGUCUCCGGCUGGUCGGCGCACUACGCUGCUGCUAGCUGCCGAGCUCGGUCUUCGGACCCGACGCUUCCUGUGAGCCGGCACCGAGGUGAGGCUCUUCGUGGCUCCUCCCGCAGUGCAGGUAGCCGGCGGCGGCCGGGCCGGCGGCUGUGAGGGUGUCACACGGGAAGCCACGCACUAAGCGAACGAGUUCGAUGAUUGCUGGACGCGCCGGCAGGCAGGUUCCGGCCGAGGGCUCUAGUGAUGCUGGGGACACUGGGGGAGGGGGCACAGGCGGCUCUCAGAGCCUGUCGGGCGCGCGCCCGCGACCGACCACCCGAGAGGCGGGCGGAGGCUGCGGGGAGUACGAGGCCUUGCGGGCGGGGCGUCAGUCCACGCUGGGGCUGGGCCCUCGAAGCUCGCUCGCCCGCACCGCGCCGCCCGGGGUAGCGGGAGGCCUCAGGGCGCGGCACGCCAGCCUCAGGCCCGAGAUUGGACGGCCGGAGCUGCAGCGCCCGCCGCCGGCCCUCCUGCGCACUGGCGGGAGCGGGCCUAGGGUGUGGAGAGGGUACACAGGCCCCAGGAGGCCUCUGCGAGAAUGCAGGCUGCCUCCUUCCUCUGGUCGCGUCUCCGCUGUUCUUGCCGAACACGCCCAAGUCUCCUGAGGGAGAGCUGGGUGGCCGCAGACCGUGGCGCCCCCUGCUUUCUCUCGGAUUCCAUGGCGGCCGCUUCGGGGGAUGGCAGCCGAGUCCGGCCAGGAGACUUGACGUUCCUCCCCGCCAUCCGCAGUCGGAAGCCGUCUCCGGACCUGUGAGCCUUGAGGUGGGGGAAGCCGAAGAGUUGAUAAUGUGGACCCACGUCCUCCCGCAGGGGUCGCGGCUCUGAGCUUAGCGGGUCCUGGCUCCACAGCCCCCCGGACCGCGAAUCCGCUUCCAGGAGCGCGCCAGGCACCACGCCGUGCGGUCCCCGGGCGCGAUGCCGCUGACUUUCCAGGACGUGGCAGUGUACUUCUCCCCAGCGGAGGGGCAACAGCUGGGGCCCCAGCAGCGGGCGCUGUACCGGGAUGUGAUGCUGGAGAACUAUGGGAACGUGGCCUCCCUAGGUGAGAACUCCCUCUGGCUUCUGGAGCGGGGGUGGGGCAGGGGGAGGGGGUGCCUCUCUAAGGGGCUCAUGGGCUGCUUUGGCUUUUUGGAUCCCAAGAAGAAGGUCCCGCCCUCAUCCCCGGGUAACAGUCUGAUCUCUGCUGAAAGAACACUGCCCGUGAGAGAGCCUUGCUGCCCGAUUCGAGGGACUUCGCUCCCUUUGCCAGUGGCCCAGUGGUGGUGUUCCUCCCUGCCGCCCCCAGGAGAACAGGGUGAAUUCUUCCUUAAAACAAAACAAAAAACACUUCAGCCCCUGGCUUUCUCUGACCAAGCAUGGCAGCAAGCAGGCACUUCUCACCUGGCUUGGGAGACCUGGUGGGCAGAGGCCGCACAGGCUCACCCAGGUUUUCACCCUCAACAGGAUUCCCUGUCCCUAAGCCAGAGCUGAUCUCCCAGCUGGAGCAAGGCGAGGAGCUGUGGGUCAUGGAUCUUCUGGGGGCUGAAGAAUCAGAGGUCUUGAGAAACUGCCGAACAGGUGAGAAUGGGCAGGAGGCUAACCCUAAGAACCCCCCUCCCAGUUCUACACUCACUGCAGCAGUGAGGGCGGUUGGGUUGUUGUGCUUAGUCCAACCGCUCCAAGAGCAGAUGUAGUCACCACAGACAUGUGGCAUGUGCUCCUUGUUUACAAGGGCUUCCCUUACUGCUCCAUUUGCUUUACUCUAGAAAAUGUAUGCAGUGCCCAGUGCCCGUUGUAUGCGUUUUGUGGCACCUUCAUUCUCUUCUUUACAUAAUACUCUUUCUUGCUGGCUUUCUUUUGACAGUAGCUAUGGGUUGCCUGUCAUGUCCUUUUCUUCUUCACCUUUUCUUUCCUCUAACUCAGUUUGGUCAGUAGUAUUCUCUCUCUUUCCUUCUUGAGACCUGUGUCCUCAUGUGCACAUGCUUUUGCUCUCUCGCUAUCAGUGUAUUGUGGGCUGGUCUUGAAUUUAUGGACUCAAGCUUCCUACUGCUUCGGCUCCUGAGUGAAGUCACAGUUCCUGGGUCAAUAGUAUUUUUUUAUUUUUUUGGUACAGGGGAUUGAACCCAGGGGCACGCAACCACCAAACCGCCUCUCCCCAUCCUAUUUUGUAUUUUAUUUACAGACAGGGUCUCACUGAGUUGCUUAGUGCCUCACUUUUGCUGAGGCUGGCUUUGAACUCACAAUCCUCCUGCCUCAGCCUCCUGAACCACUAGGAUUACAGGCAUGAGCCACCGUGCCCAGCAAUAAUAUUUUUUUAAAUGUGUACUUUUUUCUGUUGGAUCCAGCUUCUCUACUUUUUUCAUCAGCUACUGAGGCUUGUUAUGCUUUCUACCUUUUUCUCCUCCUUCCUCUCUAUUUUUUUUUUUGUUAUUUUAUUGCUCUACACUGUCAGAACAUGUAAUUCCUUUACCCUUUACUAUUACUCCUAGCCCCACCUUUGAUGUUGUUGUUUUUUGCUGUUAAGUAUAUAUUUUUUUUACCUUUUAGUUAAUUGUUGAACCUUUUACCAGAAAUUUCUGCAUCAUUUCUCUGUUGGCUGGAGCUUGUCUUCCAGUUACUCAGAAAGACUCUUGUAAAUAAUAUGCCCCAAAUUUAUGCACAUUGAAGCCUUUUGCUUCUGGCAGUGGGUGCUAAAAUUGUUGACUUGCGAUGCUUCUUUUUGUAGAAAGGUGGAGUUAUAAGACUGAAAGCAUGGCUGUAGUUCCAGUUUGGAAAAUUUUAAUGUUAUAUUUUUGUCAUCAUUUAGUCCAAGAUAUUAUGUUUUGUGAUUUCUUUGACCCAAUGAUUAGUUGGAUGUGUGUUACUUUUCAAAACAAUUGGUACUUUUCUAUUUCUUAUUGUUGUUGACUUGUCAUUUAAUUCUACCAGGGUCAGGGAACCUAUUCUUGUAUAAUUUCAUUCUUCUCGUUUUUGCUUGCUCUUGUUUUAUGACUCUAGGAUCUCUCUCAGUAAGUAUCUGCGUGCAUGUAAAAAGGGUGGGUUCAAUGGGCUGCAGCUGGGGCUCAGUGGAAGAGCACUUACCUAGCACAUUCGAGGUGCUGGGUUCUAUCCUCAGCACCACAUAUAAAAUUAAUUAAUUAAUUAAUUAAUUAAUUAAAGAUUUUUUUUAAAAAAAGGGAUAGGUUCAAGUAGCAAUUAAGUCAAGGUGCUUCAUGGUACCAUUUAGAUAUCCCCCAGCCCUUUGCUCAUUUUAUGUGUAGUUAUUUUAUUUAUGUAUUUAUUUAUUUAUUUUUUGGGGGGGCGGUACUGGGGAUUGAACUCAAGGAUACUCAACCAUUGAGCCACAUCCCCAGCCCUAUUUUGUAUUUUUUAGAGACAGGGUCUCACUGAGUUGCUUAGCACCUCGAUUUUGCUGAGGCUGGCCUUGAACUCUUUAAUAUUUUUUUAGUUGUAUAUGGACACAAUACCUUUAUUUUAUUUUUAUGUGGUGCUGGGAAUCAAACCCAGUGCCUCACUCAUGCUAGGCAACUGCUCUACCACUGAGCUACAAACCUGGCCCUGGCCUUGAACUCUUGAUUCUCCUGCCUUAGCCUCCUGAGCCCCUGGGAUUACAGGCGUACACCACCACACCCAACAGUGUAGUUAUUCUUUAGUUACUAAGAGAAGGUGUUAAAAUACCCACAUGUGAUUGUGGAAUUGUCUUGUCUUUAAUUUUCUCAGUGUCUGGUUCAUGUACUUUGAAGCUGUGUUAUUUGUAUUAUUUUUACUUCUAAUCAUCAUUUUUAGGGAUAAGAGGAUCCCUUAUCAUCUCUGGUAAUAUAUUUGGUUCUGACUAUAUUUCAUCUGAUAUGUCAUAGCAGUUCUAGCCUUAGCCUUAUUCUUUUUUUUUUUUUUUGGUACUGGGGGUUGGACUCAGGCACUCAACCAACCCCCAAGCCACAUCCCCAGUCCUUUUUAAAUUUUUUUUUAAACUUUGUUUUAUUUGUUUAUUUAUUUUUUUAUGUGGUACUGAGGAUUGAACCCAGGACCUUGCACGUGCCAGGCGAGCCCUGUACCACUGAGCCUUUUUAAAAAUUUUUUAUUGUCAUAGAGGGAUAACAUGCCUAUAUUUUUAUUUUUUUAGUACAGUGCCUCACCUGUGCUAGGUAGGCAGUCUACCACUAAGCUAUAGCCCCAGCCCCUUAUCUUUUAAUUGUAGUGCUUAAUCUAUUAAUAUUUAAUGUCUCGUUGUGUGUGUGUGUGUGUGUGUGUGUGUGAGAGAGAGAGAGAGAGAGAUAAUGGGGAUGGAACCCAGGGCCUUAUGUGUGACAAGCAAGCACUCUACCACUGAACCACAUCUCCAGCCCUUUUUUUUUUUUUUUUUAAUUUGAAACAGGGUCCUUUUUUAUUUCUCUUUUUUGCCUUUCAUGUACUAAUUCAUUAUAAAUCUCAACCAUCCCUUCCCUCCUUUAUGGUAAAGUUAUAUGUAAUAUAUCUGUGUACAUUUGAGACAAUAUUAUAAUUUUCUUUUUAAAUCGUCAUAGAUGAUUAACAGCAGAGUUAUGUCCUGAUGAACCCAUCAUAAGUUGGAAAUCACUUAGUGCAUCUAACCUACCAAACAUGCCAGCUUAGCAGCACAGCACACUGGAGAGUACAGUUGUUGCCCUGUGAUCUUGUGGCUGCCUGGGAGUUGUGACUUCUGCCACUGCCCAGCAUUGCAAGAGAGAUCAUAGUGCCCAAGAAAAGAUUAAAAAUUCAAAAUAAUAUAGUUUCUAUUGAAUAUAUAUCACUUUGUGCUGUCAUAAGAUUGAAAAAGUCUUAUGCAAAACCCUGGGAAGUUAGUGCUGUACUUUGAAUCUGCAUUAUCCCUCAAAGGUCAACGUGUAAAAGGCUAAACUGAGGAGCCAUUGGGAAGUUGGGCUUGGGGGAAGAAGCAAGGUCAGUGGGAGAAUGCCACUGGAGAGUCUCUGGGACCCACGCCAUCCUAUCUGUUUUGUGCCUGGCCGCCAUGGAGUAAACAGGCUGCCAUGCUAGGCUCCUGCCACAAUGCGUACUGCUGCCACAGGCCCAGAGCACAAGCCAAGUGACUAUGGGCUAAGACUUCUGAAACUGUGGCCAGAAUAAGUGUCUCCUCCAUUUACCUAUCUAAGGUAUUUCAUCACAGUAAUGAAAACCUAACAGUUGAGGAACCAUUUAUAUGUAGUUUAUGAAAAAAUAAAAGAAAAAAAAUAGACUUUUUGCUGUCUCGACAUGUAAGGAGCUUAGAAGUUGCUGCGGGAUUCUAACAAGUAAAGAACUGAACAAACUGGAAAAUCAGUGACUCUUGGAUCAAUCAGAGUUGAGGUCCCAGGGCAAACCACUGCACCCAAAUUGGAUAGGCAACACAGUCAUGAUUUGUGAACAGGAACCUCCAGGGGAAAUGGUGCAGGUAGGAAACCUGAAGAGAAAUGGACAAAUUGACAAAAGCUCAGUGUGGACAAGUCUGAGCUAUAAAAAUGACAGGAGACCUGUCAUGGAGGCUCAUAAACAUUUGAGGGUUUUUUGUUUUUUGUUUUACCGCCAGAAAUGUGAUGAAUCCCACAGUGAACAUUGGGGGAAAUCUCCUUAUGCUUCUGGCAGGGGAAAGGGAAAAGAAACUUCUGAAAUAUGUCAGAGCACUAUUCCUCACGAAGCUGUUCUCUAGAUAGAUGGCCUUGCCAGAGCCUGCCUGACCUGAGCAAGGAAGCUCCCAGCCCAGCACUCUGUUCUCCCUGACCUUGUGAGGGCCCUGGAGCACAGGCUUAUGGUGCUGCAUGCCUCAUUGCACAGCCAACAUGGCAGCACUGAGGCAUGGGUGCCGCAGCUCCCUUACCCAGCUUGUCACAUCUGCCUUUUAACAAAGACCUGUAAGACACUGAAAGAAAAAUGCAGUGUGGAGAGACUGAACAAACAUUAGAAUGAGAGUCAUAACUGGCAAGAGUGUUGGAAUUACCAGAUCAGGGAUUUUUUUUAAAACUAAUAUGACUAAGGCUUUAGUGGAAAAUGUAUGAUGUACAGAAACAGAUAUAUAAUAUAGGCAGAGAGAUUGAAAUUCUAAAAUAGAAUAAAAAAUGCUAGAAAUGAAAAACACUAUAAUAGUAGUAAUGACAGAUGCCUUUGAUGACUCACUAAUAGACUGGUCAGGGUUUUGAGUAUAAUGUUAUUUGAAGGCACACUUGGAUUAGUUGUAAGUGUAGAUAGAAAACCAAUUAAAAACAAAAGUACAAGACAAGUAUAAUGAAUAUGGCGACAAGGAGACAAAGUGGAGUAAUAGAAAAUACUCAAAACCACAAAAUAAGUAGCCCAGUGAUAGAGCAUUUGUAUAACAUGUGUAAGACCUUAGGUUUGAUCCCCAGCAGUGAAGAAACCAUUUUUAAACCAGAAAAUGCAGAAAAAAGUAUAGAAGAUAAACAGGGACAAAGAUCAACUGUAAUAUAUAAAACAGGGACAAAUGUUGUCAAUAUUAAUUUCAACAAUAUUAGUCUUUUUUUUUUUUUUUUUUUUUUUUGCGGGGGUAUCAGGGAUUUAACUCAAAGGCGCUGGGCCACAUCCCCAGCCCUAUUUUGUAUUUUAUUUAGAGACAAGAUGUCACCGAGUUGCCUAGUACCUUGCUUUUGCAGAGGCUGGGAACUCUCCAUCCUCCUGCCUCAGCCUCCCUAGCUUCUGGGAUUACAGGUGUGUGCAAUUGUGCCCAACUCAACAGUCAUUUUAAAUGUCAGUGGUCAGCCAGGUGUGGUGGCCCACACUUGUAGUUCCCACUGCUUGGACUAAGGCAAGGAAAUUGCUUGAGCCCAGGAGUUCAAGGCCAGGCUGGGCAACAUAGUGAGACCCUGUCUUGUUGUUUUUUGUUUUUUUGUUUUGUUUGUUUGUUUUGUUUUGUUUUUUGUUUUUUUAAGGACAAAAAUAACCUUCAUUGAUCAGUAGAUGAUAGAGACCAUCCGAGUGGGUCAGAAGCAAGACCUAACUAUGUCUUCUACAAGAAACCUCUUAUAAACAUAAAAAUGCAUAUAGCUUAAAAGUAAAGACAUGGAAAAAGAUGCUAAUAGGAAUCAAAAAAAGAGGGAAUGUUUACAUUAUUUUCAGUCACAACAGACUUCUGAGCAAGGAAAGGCACCAGGAAGAGAGGAAUAAUGCAUAAUGGUAAGGGCUUUAUACAUCAAAAAGACAACAAUUCCUGAUGCACCUAACAGCAGCAACAGAAAACUAAAGGCAAAAUCUGAUAGGCCUGCUAGGGGAAAGAAAUGAGUCUAGUACUAUAGUUGGAGACUCCAGCUAUUGUCUCUAUCUACAAUGGACAGAUCCAUCUGCAGACACAACUGAGCUCAUUACCAUUCAUCACUGGGAUAGACAUCCACAGACUCCUUCAUCUAACAACAGCAGGUUUGUUCUGUUUUUAUGGUGCUGGUGAUCAAACCCAAGGCUUUUUGCAUACUGACCAAGUGCUCUACCCCUGUACUACACUGCCAGCCCGGAUUAUAGUCUUCUGAAGUUCACUUGGAAUGUUCACCAAGACAGACCAUAUUCUAUGCCUGAGCACACUUUGAUGUGUUUAAAAGGAUAGACUGCCAGAUGUGGUGGCACAUGCCUGUAAUCCCAGCUACUCAGGAAGCUGAUGUAGGAAGAUCACAAAUCUCAAAAACUGGGAUGUGGAUCAAUGGGUUUAAUCCCUAAUACUGAAAGAAAAUGUACAACAUGUGCUGUCAGACCACAGUGAUAUUAAAACUAGAAAUUAAUAACAAAAAUAUAGGUAGAAAAUUCUGAAAUUUUGGAGUAUAAAGAGCAUGCUUUUUUCCUCCCACCCCAGUACAGGGGGUUGAGCCCCAGGUGUUCCCCAGCCUUUUUUAUUUAUUUUUUUAAUCUUGAGACAACACUUAGUUGCCCAGGCAGGUCUUGAACUUGGGGUCCUCUUACCUCAGCCUCUCAUGUCACAGGGAUUAUAGGAUUACAUGCUCUGCUAUACAGCAUACUUCUAAAUAAUGUGUGAGUCAAAGAAGAACUCUGAAGAAAUUUUUAAAUAUUUUGAAUUAAAUGAAGAUAAUAUCACCUAGCAAAUUCUGUGGACUAGAGUGAAAACAUGAUGAGAAAUUCAGGUCAGUGAAUGCAUUUAUUGAAAAGAAGAUCUUAAAGUCCUAGCCAUGGUGGUGCAUACCUGUAAUCCCAGCAUCUUGGGAGGCUGAGGCAAGAGGAUUGUGAGUUCAAAGCCAGCCUCAGCAAUUUAGCAAGGCCUAAAGCAACUCAUGAGACCCUGACUCUAAAUAAAAUAUUAAAAAGGGCUGGGAAUGUGGCUCAGUAAUUGAGUACCCCUGGGUUCAAUCCCUGGUAUAAAAAAAAAAAAAAAGUCAAUAUUCUAAGCUUCUACCUCAGGAAACUAGAGAAAAGAAGAGAAAAUUAAAUCCAGAGUGAACAGAAGAAAAGAAAUAAUAAAUGUGAAAAUGAAAACAGGAAAUCUGGGCUGGGGAUUUUGGCUCAGUGUAGAGCGCUCGCCUAGCACAGGGGGGACGCAGGUUCGAUCCUGAGCACCACAUAAAAAUAAAGGCAUUGUGUUGUGCCCAUCUCCACCUAAAAAAUAUUAAAAACAAACAAACAAAACAUGAAAUCAGUAGAGAAAAAUCAAUAAAACCAGGAGUUGGUUCUUUGAAGCGAUCAAUAAAGUUGAUAAGCAUCUAUCUAGAUCAAGAAGGACAGAGAGAAUACAAAUCACUGAUAUCAGAAAUGAAUAGUUCUUGUGACAUGGAGAGGUCAAAAGGAUAUUAUAAACAGCACUUUGCUCACAAAUUGGAUAACUUAGAUGAAUUGAACUAAUUCCUUGGAAAAUCAAUCUCUCCAAACUCACUCAACAAUAAGUAGAUAAACUGAAUAGGUCUAUGUGUAUUAAAGAAAUUGAGUUAACAAUUAACCUUCCAAAACAGUUCCCUGGCUCAAAUGGGUUCAUUUGUGAAUUCUGACCCAUUUAAGUAUGAAAUUAUGCUAUUUUUUCUCCUCUUUUCCAGAGGAUAUAAAUACUUCCUGGCUCAUUCUAUGAUGUCAGCAUUAUCAUACGAGCAAAAUCAAAGACACUACAAGAAAAUAAAACAGUGGACAAAUAUGAAUAUGGAUGUAAAAGUUAUCAACAAAAUAUUAACAAAUCAGAUUCAGUAAUGUAUAAAAAGAACUAUACCAUGACUAAGUGAAGUUUAUCUUAGGUAUGCACAACUAGUUCAACAUUGAAACAUCAAUGUAGUUCACACUUAAGAAGAAAGAUCACAUGGUCAUAUCAAUAGAUACAGAAAAAGCAUUUGACAAAAUUCAACAUUCAUGAUAAAAACUCAGAAGGUUUGGGUAUAGAGGGGAGAUUCCUCAACUUGGUUUAAAAAAAAUACCUACAAAAAUUUUUAAUGGGAAAAAACUUGAAGCUUUUCCUCUAAGAUCAGGAACAAGGCCAGAACGACUCCUUUUACCACUGCUUUUCAACACCGUACAGGACGCUGUAGCUAAUGGAAUAAAGCAAGAAAAGGAAAUAAAGGCUAUUACAUAUUGGGAAUGAAGAAAUAUAACUGUUUACAGAUGACACCAUUGUCUAGGUGAUAGGCCAUCUAUGGAUAGGAAGACUCAAUAUUGUCAAGAUGUUAGUCAUUACAGUGGCCCACACCUGGAAUCCCAGCUACUCAGGAGACUGAGGCAGAAGGAUCGCAAGUUGGAAGCCAACAAUCUGGCCAGCUAGUAAGAAGCUUCUCAAAAAGGCUCUGGAUGUAGUUAAGUGAUAGAGCGCUUGCCUAGCAUGCCCAAGACUGGGUUUAAUCCCCAGUAACUGCGCAAAAAAAAAAAGAUGAAAAAAGUCACUUUUCCCAACUUGAUCUAUAAAUUCAACAUAAUUCCAAUUAAAAUCUCAGUAGGUUAUUUUGUGGAUGUCAAAAAACUUACUCUGGGGGGCUGGGGUUGUGGCUCAGCGGUAGGGCACUCGCCUAGCAUGUGCAAGGCGCUGGGUUCAAUCCUCAGCACCACAUAAAAAUGAAUAAAUAAAGGUAUUGUGUCCAACUACAACUAAAAAAAAAUAUUUUAAAAAAAUGACUCUGAGGUUUAUAUGGCAAGGUAAGAGACCUAGAAUAACUCACUCAGUAUUGAAGGAACGGCACAAAAUCAAAAUCGGACUCAUACCAUCUGAUUGCAAGGUUCACUGUACAGCUACAGUUAUCAGGGCAGUGUGGUACUGCUGAAGAAGUAGACACAGACUAUUAAAGCAAAAUAGAGAGCCUGUAGUUAUCAGAUGAUCGCAUGCGAAGAAAACGAAUGUAGAUGCCCUCUACCAGAGGCGCACCAUGAUCCCAGCACUGAGGAGGCUGAAGCAGGAGGAUUGCAAGUUCACUUGGAUCCUGUCUCAAAAAUAAAGGUCUGGGGUGUAUUUAGUGGUAGAGCAUCCUUGAGUUAAAUCCCAGUACCACACACAAAAGACCCAUUAAGUCCCAAGUUUUAGGGCUGGGGCUAGGACUCAGUGAUAGAGCACUCACCUAGCAUGCACAAGGUACUGGGUUUGAUCCUUAGCACCACAUAAAAAAUAAAGUGAUCAUUAAAAAAAAAAGUCCCAAGGUUUUAGUUCUGUGAUGGUGUCAAUGAAAUUAAAACAGGUUCAUUGAGAUAGGUUGGAAAUCAUAAUCUAGACUUUACACAUAGUUAUAUUAAUCUUAAUGUUAUAUAUUACAUAAUUUUAUAAUUCCAUCUAAGUGUUUAUUGGUAUUCCACAUCUGGAAUACUGGGACAAAAUGGGUUCAGCAAGUCGUAGUCUGCUCAUACUUAGUCUGCAGCUGUAACAAAAUGCUAUAAAAUGAGUGCUUAAACAGAAAUUCAUUUUCUCACAGUUCUGGAGGUUGGAAGUCUGUCAGUUUGUCCGUUUUUGGUGAGGAUUCUCUUGCUAUCUCACAGAUGAUUAUCUUCUCACUGUGUCCUCAUCUGGUAGAGAAAAGAAAUCUUCUGGUCUCUGUUAAAAGGGCACUAAUCCACUAAUGGGGCCCCACUCCCAGUUAUCUUUCAAAGGCCUCAUCUCCAAAUGCCAUUGAAAGUUAAGACUUUAAAUAAGCUGAAGGUCACAGUUCAGUCCAUAGCAGACUUCAUAGCCCUAAAUAUAAAACUUCUAGAUGAUAAGAGAAAAUGUAGAUUUGAGCUUGGGUUCUAUAGUAAGUUUGGGAAUGUGACAUCAAAAGCAUGAUCCAUAAAGUAAAUGGUUGAUAAGCUAGAUUUCAUUAAGAUUAAAAACUAAUGCAGUUGGGUAUGGUGAUGCACAUCUGUAAUCCCAGCAACUCAUGAGGCUGAGGCAGAAAGAUCACAAAUUCAAGGUCAGCCUGUGUAAGUUAGCAAGACACUAUCUCAAAAAAGUCUGAGGAGGGGCUGGGGUUGUGGCUCAGUGGUAGAGCACUCACCUAGCAUGUAUGAGGCCCUGGGUUCGAUCCUCAGCACCACAUAAAGAUAAAUAAAUAAAUGUAUUGUGUCCAUCUACAACUAAAAGAUAUUAAGAAAAAAAAAAAAGGCUGAGGAUGAAGGUCAGUUGUAGAGCAUUCCUGGGUUCAAUCACCACUACCAAAACCAAAAACUUUCACAAAAGACAGUAAGAAUUUUCAGACUCAAGAGAUGUGUCCAUCUACAACUAAAAAAAAAAGACGAAAGGCCUGAACAGACACCUGGCCAAAGACACACAGAUGGCAGGCCUGUGUAAAGAUGCUGCUUGUUGUGUCACUAGAAUGCAAGUUAGAGCCACAGUGAGAUGCCACUGCAUGCUUUUUUAGAAUGGCACAUCCAGGAAGUUGACAGCACCCAGUAUCAGCGAGGAUGGGGAACAGCGGAAUGUGCCUUCAUCGCUGUUGAAAUGCACGGUGUUGUGGCUGCCACGGAAGAUGCUGGCCAGUAUCUUACAGAAGUGCACACACAAGAUCACAUUCACAGUCUUGGUGUUUAUCCAAAGUGAACUGAAAAUUCAUGUUCACACAAACCCUGUACACAAAUUUUAUGAGCACUUUAUUCAUAAUUGCUAAAAGUUGGAAGCAACCAAGAUAUUCUUUAAUAGAUGAGUGGAAUGGGAUGAUAUGUGGGGCUAAAAAGAAGUGAGCUUACCAAGCUAUGAGGAGCUGUGAAGGAGUCUUAGUGUGCAUGACUAGGGGAAAGAGGCAGCUUGAAAGGUUGCGUGUGUAUUCCAGAAUGACGCUCCUGCAAAGUUGAAACUGUAGACGCAAGAAAAAUACAAAUGGGUACCAGGAAAUGGAAGAGGGGUGGGUGCACAGAGAGACUUGGGGACAGGGGGACUCUGGUAGUGCAGUGGUGGAUCCAGCAUGCAUUGUCAGCACCCAGGGACUGCAACACAAGAGCAGCCCCGUGGUGGCUGUGGACUCCAGGUGGUGUGUCCCUGUGGGUUCAUCCAUUCUGACACUUGUACCACCCUGAUGCAUGAUUUCCUGAGCACAUGUUAAGAUUCAGGGUGAACUUGUGCCUUCCUCCAGGCACCACGUAUUCUGGGGUUUUCUUUGGGAAAGCACACAUCAUUGGGAGGUGAGACACGGGUCAGGAAUUGAAAUUUUAUUCUCAUAGAUCUGGGGAUACCCCAAGGCCAUACAGGCUAGUCAGCAAGAAGGGCAAGGGGUGGGGACCUGGAGCAUCUACCAUUAGGGUCCAGGGUAUGGGCAGAAGCAUGGACCGGAGAGAAGUUCCAUGCUGAUGGCUUAGUCCUCUUGUGCAUUUAGUCAGGCAGCUGGUAGGGUUGGGGCUUGAAGCAGUGAUCUUGUGACCCCACGAAUCAGAGGGAGUAGUUGGAGAGCUUGGGUUGGACAGGGCUACGGUGGAUCCAUGUACUCCAGAGAGCCUUGUGUCAAAAGUUUGGUGCCCUGGGUAGCACAGUUGGGAGGUGGGGGCUUGUGGGACCCUACCAGUACUCUCUGCUUCCUUGCUCCUGGUGUAAGCAGUUGGCUCUGCCACACACUUCUGCCAUUUCCGUCUGGUGCCCUCACUAGAGGGCCAAAGCAAGAGGUCUGCCUGAUCUUGGACUAGAACCUCCAGAACCACGAGCUAAAUAAAAAUGCUAUCUUUAUAAGUUAAUUGCCUCAGGUAUUUUGUUAUAAUAACACAAAGCUCACCAAUACAGGCUAUUAGCUAAAAACGUGUUAUGCCGGCAUCAAGGAACUCAUGUGAGUAAAAGAAUGGAGCUGGGUAUGGUGGCACAUGCUUGUAAACCCAGUGACUAAGGAGGCUGAGGCAGCGGAAUUGCAAGUUUGAGUCCAGCCUGGGCAACUUAGACCCUGUCUCAAAAAAGGCAUAGGGGUAUAGUUUAGUGACGGUGUCCCUGGGUUCAAUCUCCAGCACAAGAUCAAAAUCAGAAUUAAUACUGAAGCACUCUGGGCAUGGUGGUACAGGCCUGUAAUCCCAGCAGCUCACGAGGCUGAGGCAGAAGGAUCACAAGUUCAAAGCCAGCCUCAGCAAUGGUGAGGCACUAAGCAACUCAAUGAGACUCUGUCUCUAAAAUACAAAAUAGGGCUGGGGAUGUGGCUCAGUGGCUGAGUGCCCCUAAAUUCAAUCUCUGGUCCCCCCACCACCCCGCCAAAAAAAAAAAAAAAAAAAAGCUGAAGCAGCACAGAAAUGUCGCCCUUUCUGCGCCAUCUAAGCUGUCUGGAUUUGCAAAUGUUCUAUGAUAUUAAAUUAUUUUCAUCUUAUAUUUUUUUCUUUGCAAUGCUGGGGGUUCAACCCAGGGCCUCAUGCAUGCUAUGCUAGGCAAGUGCUCCACUGCCAGCCAUAUCAUUAGCCCUCAUCUAUUUUUAUCUGCAUGUUAUUUAUUACCCAAUAUAUUAGGAUAAUGAGCCUAUGAGCAAAUAAAAUCUCAAUUCUCCACCUUGUGUCUCUUUUUUGAUGGGUUUUAAGUAGCAUUCUAUUAACAGUUACAUGCAAGCAAGUUGUUACUAGGUUACCUAGUAUCAUAUGCUUUGGGGGCCUGACACCUAGCAUUCAGACUAAUGCCAGUUUGCCAGGUUUUUCCUCUCACAGUGAGCUAUCAGUCACGAUUCUGGGUUAUCUAAAAUUUAUGGGUAAUGCUUUCCUCCAGCAUCUUGUUAAGGAUUUUAUGUAGUGAGCACAUCCCUCCACCAUCUGGAUGCUACUGGCAUUUCCCUUGGCCAUGCUAAAUUUUUUUUUAGAAGAUUUUUUUUUUUUUUGAGAGAGAAUUUUUUUUUUAAUAUUUAUUUUUUAGUAUUUGGCGGACACAACUUCUUUGUUUGUAUGUGGUGCUGAGGAUCGAACCCGGGCCGCACGCAUGCCAGGCGAGCGCGCUACCGCUUGAGCCACAUCUGCAGCCCUGGCCAUGCUAAUUUUGCAAGCAGUUUUGUGUGGUUAGAGCUUCCUGGGCCCACUGAGUGAACCCUAGCUGUGGUAUCUGUCCCAGGGAUAGACGUCACAGACCCCUUUGUGCAAAGAAGACCAUCUUUUAGGACUGUUUUGGCCUGUUGGUGCCCUUGUCCUCAACACACUGCAGCUCAGUGGUGGCUCUGUCCCCUGGGACCCGGCGUGCAUUUCUGGGUGGUAUCACUUGCUGGAGUCCAUGCUGCAGGGUUGUCAGGGCUAGCAGUUUCUCAGAUGGGAUGGCCCUGGACAGGCACUGGUGCCUGAGUCUCUUGGGUGGGUUGUGAGUGAGGUCUUAGAAGGGAAAAGAUGGUUUUCAUUGGUUUCCAUCUUCCAAGGAGCAUGAUGAGGACUGGUACGGUUUGAGGAGUAAUUGCCUCACCUUCAGAGAAGAGGGCAUGUAGUUAUUCUAAUUAAUAUUCAUAAUGGGGAACUUUAGAGAUGAGCUUUAAUUUUUAAACAAAUUUUUUAGCUGUUGAUGGACCUUUAUUUUAUUCAUAUUUAUGUCCCGUGCUGAAAACUGAACCCAGUGCUUCACACAUGUGAGGCAAGUGCUCUACCGCUGAGCCACAACCUCAGCCCAUCAGCUCUAAUUUUUAAAGCCUUUACAUAAAUAGGAGCAUAAAUAUUAUCUAUUUUGAAAUAACCUGAAGACCCUUGAAUCAUUUAAGAAUGACAAAAAACAAACCUGCAUUGCUAGCAAGAUACAGUGAGAAGUUGUGUUAGCAUUAUGUCUCUGUGACAAAAUCAACUUAAACGGAGGAAAGAUUUAUUGACUCACCAUUAUCUGACCCUGCUGCCUUGGCCUGUGGCAGCACAGCACAUUAAGGCGGAAGUGUGUGGCAGAGAAGUCUUGAGCAGUUUUGGCAGCUGGAACAUAAAGAAGAGGAAGGGCCAGAUCCCUAAAGCCCUUGCCGCCUCCCACCAGGUCCCUCUGUGUAAGGGUUCAACCCCCUGCCAAUAGCACCACUAUCUGGGGGUUAACUUCAACAUGGGCCUUUGGUGGGCAUUCCAGAUCCUAGCUAUAACAUAUAUUAAAAAUCAUUUGGGGGCUGGGGAUAUAACUCAGUUGGUAGAGUGCUUCGCUUGCAUGCACAGUGCCCUGGGUCCAAUCCCCAGCACCACCAAAAAAAAAAAAAAAUUAUAUAUAUAUAUAUAUAUAUAUAUAUAUAUAUAUAUAUAUAUAUAUUAUACACACACACACACACGUGUGCGAACACACAUAAAUAAAUAAAUGUCAUUUGGAAGCCUUUUGCAGUAAUGGAUACCCCUAAUCCCUGCGGUUCAGGAGUCAGGGGCAGGAGGACUGGAUUUGAGGCCUGCCUGGGCAUUUAGCAAGAGCCUGUCCAAAAUAAAAUGGGCUGAAAAUGUAGUCAGUGGUAAAGCACCCCUGGGAUCAAUCCUCAGUACUGAAAAAAAAAUUUUUUUUAAUAAUAUCAACCUUCAAGUUGCCCUCAAAAAGAUGACAUAGACAAAGUUUAUGUCUACAGAAUUUUGCAAUAUUGUUUGGAUUCCUCUAUAAUAGUACAUUUUGGGUUGGGGGGCGGUAACCGGGAUUUAACUCAGGGGCACUUGACCACUGAGCCACAUCCACAGCCCUAUUUUGUAUCUUAUUUAGGGUCUUACUGAGCUGUUAAGCACCUCAUCGUUGCUGAGGCUGGCUUUGAUUCUCAGCCUCCUGAGCCGCUGGAUUACAGGCAUGCACUACUGUGCCUGGCUUAAGAGUACAUUUUUUUUUAAACGAUUUUAUCCCAUUUUAGUAAUGGCCCAUGUUCACAGUUCAUGUUAGUGCACUGAACCCCUAUUUAGAUAGGAGUUGCUUUAUUAUUAAACCCAGUUUAAGAAAUAUACACAAUUUUGUUGGGUGCAGGUAUGCACACCUGUAAUCCCAGCUGCUCCAGAGGCUGAGGCAAGAGAAUCACAAGUUCAAAGCCAGCCUCAGCAAUUUAGUGAGGCCUAAGCAACUUAUUGAGACCCUAUUUCAAAUAAAAAAUAAAUUAAAUGGGCCAUAGAUGUGGCUCAGUGGUUAAUGGACUUAGGGUUCAAUCCCUGGUACCUAAAAAAAAAAAAAAAAAAUCCAGUCUGAUUCUUAUAGAUUUAAAUGUACUAUAUCUGUUUUUCAUAUAUAUGUACCUAGUAACAAUGCCAUUAGCUUGAAUUUUUAGGAAAAAAGCAACCAUUUUUAAAUAUACUUAGAUUUCCAAGAGAUUUUCUUUAUUUUAAUAUGGUAUUUUAAGUAAUGAGAUUUCCAAACAGAGAAGUAUAAAUUUUCUCAUGCUGUAUGUAUUCUAUUAUUUUAUUAAAAAAAAACAAAAAACUUCAAGUCUAAGGAGUGUGGUGGCGCACACUUGUAAUCUCAGUAAUUACUCUCAGGAGACUGAAACUGAAGGAUCACUAAUUCAAGGUCAUCCUGGACAGCUUAGCAAGACGGUAUCUCAAAAAUGAAAAAUGGCUGGGAAUGUAGCUUGGUGGUAGAGCAAUCCUGGUUUCAAUCUUCAGUGCACGUGCACACACACACACACACACAAAUCUUACAUAAAAAUUUUAAAAAGGGGUGAGACAGAACACUUGCCUAUCAUGUGUGAGACCCUGGAUUCCAUCCCCAGAACAGAAGGAAGGAAGGAAAAAAAGAAAGAAGGUAAAGAAAGAAGCUAGCUAGCUAUUAGCUAUUUUAAGAAGAGAGAAGUUUGGCUUAAAGUGGAUAAACGUGUAGGUUCCAGCUCCAGCUAGCCAUAAUUGGUCCUCUGUGGGAGAAAGUGGGCCCUCAGCAUAGUCCAGUCAGGGGGAGGAACCCAAGACCUUGAUCUGCCCCCUGGUGCCCAGAAGGAGAUGGAGAGACUCCUGCUCAUUGAAGUGAGAAGAGUAGAUACCUUCUCAGGUACACACAUAGAUAACAUGCAUGUGUGCAAAAACCCCUAUCUAGAAAUUUUCUUUCCCGUUCUCUAUUUGUCUUUACUUGCAAUCUGCAACACGGUAGAUUUUUAAGCCUUGGGAGGGUGUUAUGGUAGAGCACCUGCCUAGCAUAUGAGGCCCUGCCUUUUACCCCAGUGUUGCAGACAACAAUGAUAACAAAAAGUUAUGUCUUUAUAUCCAACAGCAAGAGUGUUCCCACCUCACCGUCUGCCUCAGUGAUGACCCUUGGCAUUUACUUUUAGAAUCACUUUGUGAAAUGAGAAAAUUGUGAUUUUGAUUGAGGUUGCAUUGAAUCAAUUUCAAGAGAAGUGGAUAUCUUUGUAAUCUAAAUAUUCUAGUCCAUAAGUAUACCAUAUCUAUUCACUUGCCCAGGUCUUUAUUUCACUCAAUAGCAAUGUAUUAUGAUUUUCUGGUCAUAACUGAUCAAGAACAAAAGAAGGGACAGAUGACCAAAAUAAAAAGGGGCCACAAUACAGAUCCACAGGCUGUAAUAAAAAGGCAUCUGAACACGUUUAAUGCCAAGAAGUUUUAAUAUGGAGAUAAAACACAGUUUGCCCAGAAAACACAAUUUGUCAAGGUUGACACAAGAAAGCAUUAAUACAUGAUCUUUUAAGUAUUAAAGAAAUUGGUUCAGUAAAUAAAAUUCCUAUCUCAGAGAAAAUGCCAAGCCCAGAUGGUUUCGCCAGCUUAUACCAAACAUUUAAGGAAGAAAUAGCACUUAUCUUCCAUAUGUAUUUUCAGUUAAAGUUGGUUUAUGCUGUGUGUAUUAUUUUAGAAACUGAUUUUUCAGUUUAUGUCAUAGACUUUUCCUUUAACUAUAUAUUCUAUUAUAUAAUUAUAAUGUCAGAAAGGUAUUCCAUUAUAUGACUCGUCUAUCGCUGACUUAAACAAUACUCUUUUUUUUUCUUUCUUUUUUUUUGCAGUGCUGGAGAUAAACCUAGGGCCUCCUGCAUGCCAGGCAAGUGCUCUAUCACUGUGCCACACCCAGCCCUGUCCUCUGUUUUUUGAAUAUUUGAAUUCUUUCUUGUUUCCCCAUAAUUAGGGAGAACAUUUCAGGGAUGGUCAUAAUAAUCAUUUCUUUGUGCAAAUGACAGUUGACUUAGCAUAGACUCUUGAAGAACAAUUUUGGGAACAAAGGUGUGUAAUAUUAAUUCUUUUGCUAUGUGUUACCAACUUUCCCUUUAAAAAGCUCUAUUUAUUUAUAGUCCAUCCCACAGUACAGGACAGGAAUUAUUCCUUUACUUCUCUGUGUGGGAAUCAACGCAGCACAGCAACCUCCACCCGCCUUCUUGCUCUAGCCGUGGCAGGCUCCUUGCAUUCCUGGACUUGGUGGUUCUCCAUCUCACCCAGGCCUGCCUUCUGCAACUGCUGACCCAUUGGCUCUUGCUCCCUCUGAAGCCACGCAUGCUCCUGGGAUCUUCUGACCACAUAGGCUGCAGGAGAUGGUUCUGUAUUUUCAAUAGUUUCCAUUAUCCAUGUUAUUUCAUUUUUUUAAUAUUAUUUUUUUUAGGUGUAGUUGAACAAAAUGCCUUUAUUUUAUUUAUUUUUAUGUGGUGCUGAGGACCGCACCCAGGGCCUCGCAAGUGCUAGGCGAGCGUUCUACCGCUGAGCCACAAUCCCAGCCUCUGUGUUAUUUCAUUUAAAAAAAAAAAAAAAAGUAUUUGAUUUUCUUCCUCAAUAUACAGUGAGCUUCCUGAGACCAGAGGCUCUCUGGCUUCCUAUUGUGUUCCUUACCUGGAGCAGCCUGUUGGCAGAUUCAUUUGCUAGUUUGAUAGGUGAAAAAAUCAUAAUUUGCUUGAGUUUCCCUCCUGUGGUACCUGGUGGACUGAGCUUUCAUCCUGUGACUGGCCAUUUUGCCUCUUGCGCUCCUGAGUCAUGCAUAGCACAUCUGCUACUGGAACAUCUGCCUUCCAAGUAAGGAUCUGUGUAAGAGUGUUGCUGAACAGUGGUGUCCUCUAGUAAUUCCUUUAUGUUUUGUGUAACAGAUUCUGAUACUGGGACUGAGAAGGAACUGUCCAUUUUAAACCAGGAGUGUUCUGAAGAUGUGAAGAGCCCAGCAUUUGUAUCAAGAAGAUUCUCAAGGGCCAAUUCACAGACACCUGUGUUCCAGGAUCCUUGGGACCUGGAGGGGAAGGGAAAAGGGAGCCUGGGAAACACUGCUGGCCAGAGUCUGAAGAAACCCCAUCUGCACAAUAGAGUUUUUAGAGAGGAAUCUGUCCUAUGUAGGGAGCAGCCUCCAAGAGAGAGUGUCCAGGAGUGUUCUUUAAAUGUUGAUAGACAUUUAAAUCCAAACCAAAAUGUUGUUAGACUUCAAAGGAAUAAAACAGGAGAGAGAGUCUUUAAAUGUGAUAUAUGCAGCAAAACCUUCAAAUAUAAUUCAGACCUCCGUCGACAUCAUAGGCGCCACACAGGGGAAAAGCCCUAUGAGUGCAGUUGGUGUGGGCGAGCCUUCACACACAGCGCGAGCCUCAUCCUGCACCGCCGAGUCCACACUGGCAGCAAACCGUUUAAAUGUGAAGAAUGUGGGAAGACUUUUGGGCUCAAUUCCUACCUCAUUCUGCAUCGGAGAAUUCACACUGGAGAAAGACCCUUUGGGUGCAGUGAAUGUGGGAAAGCCUUCAGUCGAAGCUCCAGCCUCAUUCAGCAUCGCGUCAUUCACACAGGAGAGAAGCCUCACAAGUGUGAGGAGUGCGGCAAAGCCUUCAGCCAGAGCCCCCAGUUAACUCAGCACCAGAGGAUCCACACUGGGGAGAAGCCGCACAAGUGCAGUCAGUGUGGCAAGGCCUUCAGCCGGAGCUCCAGCCUCAUUCAGCACCAGAGGAUCCACACUGGGGAGAAGCCCCACAAGUGCAGUCAGUGUGGCAAGGCCUUCAGCCAGAGCUCCAGCCUUUUCCUCCAUCAUAGGGUCCACACUGGAGAAAAGCCCUACGUGUGCCAGGAGUGUGGCCGGGCCUUUGGUUUCAAUUCUCACCUUACUGAACAUACACGGAUUCACACUGGAGAGAAGCCUUAUGUGUGUGGUGAGUGUGGCAGGGCCUUCAGCCGGAGUUCCACUCUGGUGCAGCAUCGCAGAGUGCACACAGGGGAGAAGCCAUAUCAGUGCUCUGAGUGUGGGAAAGCCUUCAGCCAGAGCUCCCAACUCACCCUGCACCAGCGUGUCCACACUGGCGAGAAGCCCUACGAGUGCCGGGCCUGUGGGAAGGCCUUUAGCCGGAGGUCAACCCUCACACAGCAUCAGCACAUUCACACGGGAGAUAAUCCUCGCCAGCGUAGAAAGGGUGGCCCCAGCCUGAUGCCCACUGGAGAGCGACGUGGCAGAGCCUUCAGCCAUGGUGCAGACCUCAUUCUGCACUGGACAAUCCACACUGGUGAGAAAUCCCUGGGGUGCAGUGAAUGUGGGAAGACUUUCAGCCCUACCCCACAACCCGUUGAGUACCAGAGAAGCCGCCACGCUGGGGAGAAACCAUAUAAAUGUCAAGAAUGUGGAAAGGCUGUCAGCGAGGGUUCAGACCUUACUCAACAUCAGGUAGCUCAUGUUGGAGAGAAGCCCCCUCUAAAUGAUGGCUCUGAAAGAUAUUUUAUUCAUAUCAAAAAGAUUUUCCAAGAAAGACAUUUUUAAGUUAUAAAAUUAGGAAACAGUUUAGCAAUUGUUCAUUUUACGUUGGAUAGGCUAGCAAAAUGAAAGUUAAAUAAGAGGGUUUACAUAUUACCAGCAAAUCAAAAUAAACAGGUUGGAUGACUAUUAAAGUCAUUAAAUUUGAAAGUAAACAUGAGAGAAUUCAAUCUGGAAAAUACUGUUGUAUAGAGGUUAUUGUUGUGCUCAGGGUGACCCCUGUCGCACUACCUUCAGACACUGAGAGGAGGGGGAGCACCAAUAGUGAGCCACUGGCUCCAGCCCCAAGGUGUCACUACCUUGUGUCUCCCUCCUGCCUGAGCUCAGCUUGUUAUUGGGAAUACCCAGUUCCAGUACCGCUGGGCAGGGUGAGCCUUCCCUUACCAGCCUGCAGGCAGGGUGUCCUUCCUCCCUUGGAGCCCAGUUUGGGCAUUUGUAGAGUGAAGAUUGAUGUGUUUUCAGUUCUGAGAUCUGCAAUUGAGCAGAGGCCUCGGGGCCAAUGAGGCCAAGCUGCCAUGAAGCCCCAUUCUCAAGAGCUGCAAAAAGGAAAGAAAAUCCUCACAAUGCUCGAAGAAAAUAGGAGAGGAAAUAACUGCAGUUAAGACACACCAAGAAACAACCAGGCUUGUUGUUAUUUUUGUUUUUCUUUGUUUGUUUGCGUGUUUUGAAGUGCUAGGGAUAGAGCCCAGGGCCUUGUGCAUAUAGGCAAGUGACCUACCACUGAGCUACACCCCAACCCCAAAGGCCAACCUUCUUGAGUACAGUUUACAUACAAUAAGAUUCACUCUUUAGCAUACAGCUCUGUGGGUUUCAGAGUCACAUGGUGUGCAGUCGCCACAAUCAAGCAUACAACCUGCCUCAGCACCCACAGCUCUCCAUGCCCAAACGGGAAGCCCUAACCCCUGCAUACCCUGCUUUGUUUUCUGUUGCCAUGGCUUCACCAUUCCCAGAAUCUCAUCCUGUGGAGCCAUUUCAAUCUGGUGUUUUUUACUGAAUGUAUUGGAGAGUCACCCAUGUUGUUGCAUGUAUCCGUAGUUCAUUCUUUUUACUGCCCAGCAGCAUUCCAUGUUAUGGAUAUAUGGAUGGAGCUGUUCAACCAUUCCUCCAUUAAGGGAUUCUUGAGUGUUCCCAUUUAUAGUAUAUAAGAAUAAAGUACCUAUAAACACGUAACUAUAAUCUGUUUUGUGAACCUAACCUUUCAGUUCUUUUAAAUGUCUCAUUUGCAUUGCUGGGUCACUAGUAAUCUUAACUUUUUAAGAAAGAGUUUCACUGAGAGUCUAAGGGCAUGAGGGCCCUUGAAACCUUGAUUUCCAUUCUGAGUCUGUAGGAAGAAUCUUUUCUAUCCUCUACUUAAUUCCCUCCAUGCCCAGUGGGACAUCACCCUUUGGGACCAGGAUACAGCUAUGUGGUAGAGGAUUUGCCUGUCAUAUAUGAAGCCCUGGGUUCCAUCCCCAGCACCAUCAGAUCACCUUUCAAAAUCCCUUCCUUAAUGCCUCUGCUCUUACUGUGUUGUUUUGUAUUUCAGUGCUGGGGAUGAACCCAGGGCCCUGCACUUGUUAGGAUGUGCUAUUGAGCCACAUACUCAGCCCCUUUUCUUAGGGAACUUGGGGUCAUGUUUGUGUUUGGUUUGACACUGUUUCUGUGGUUUGCUCCACUUAUUCCCCCUAACUUGUUUUAUGUCUCAUGCUAUAAAUUUCUUAAAGCCAGAACCUCUUCUGGAUGUAGUCCCAGUGGAAGGAUCUGCAAAUCAUGGAGGUGGCAGUGGCUUAUCUGAAGGACUAUGAUCUCUUUCUGACCUCCGGCACAGCAUCUGAUCUAAGGAGUAGCUUCCACUCUUGUAUUCUGCAUCACCAUAGCAACCAUCUUGUUUCACUUUUUCUACCUACUUCUACAUUAUGCUGGGAGCUCUUUGUAGCCAGAGUCUGUCAUAUGCCCUUUAUUAUUCUGUGAGGGUUUUUUGUUUGUUUGGUAUUGAGAUUGAACCCAGGGCCUCACCCGUGCUAGGCAAACACUCUACCACAGAGCUACAUUUCCAGCCCUUUUUUAUGUUUAAUACUAGGGAUUGAACUCAGGGACACUCAACCACUGAACCACAUCUCCAGCCCAAUUUUGUAUUUUUUUAUUUACAGACAGGGUUUCACUGAGUUGCUUAGUGCCUCACUAAGUUGCUGAAGCUGGCUUUGAACUCAUGAUCCUCCUCCCUCAGCCUCCCAAGCUGCUGGGAUUACAGGCAUGCACCACCACACCUGGCUCUUUUUUUUUUUUUUUUUGAGACAGGGUCUUGCUAAAUUACCCAGCCUAGCCUUGAACUUAUAUCCUCCUACCUCAGCCUGUGAUCCCUGAAUAGUGGGAUCACAGGCAUGUGCCACUCUUACACCUUUUCUCUCUAGCAAAUGAUGCAGAAUACGUGUCUAGGAUGUUUUGGGAAGGAAGAGAGAGGGAGGGAGGGAGAAAAGGAAACACUACACAGCACUCAGCCUUGUUCUGUUCAGGAAUAUGCUGGGUUAAAUAAUUUAUUGCUGGACAUAGAGUGCACAUCUAUAAUUUCAGCAGCUUGAGAGGCUGAGGCAAGAGGCCAGCCUGGAUAACUUAGGAAGACCUUGUCUCAAAAUAAAAAACAGAUAAAAAGGGCUGGGGAAGUAGUUCAGUGGUAGGUUCAAUCUCCAAUACUGUAAAAAACAAACAAACAAAAAUCUCCUUCCUCACCUACUGGAGAGCCCACAGUGAGGUCCCUCUCAAAAUGCCCAAACAUACCAUGUUUGUGGGGGAGGGAAGAUUUUGGCAGGGCUGGCCUAAUUUGGCCUUUAUUUACUAUAGACCCUGAAACUAAGAUGUUAGCAGGAUCCACAGCAGGUUGGCUGAGCAUCCAGACAGUGAGGGGACACCCCCAUGGUUAAAAGUUAGGACAAAAGAAACUCUGUGUAUAACCACAAGAAUGGGAAGUUAUACUCCCAUGUAUGUAUUGUAUGUCACAAUACAUUCUACAAUCAUGUAUAACCAAAAAAUAAAGAAACUCAAGAGUGCCACGCCUGGAAACUGGUGCUUUGGCAGCUGUGAGGUCUGCUUACAGCCUCUGCAGAGAUGAUGAAGUUGGGGUGAUUCUAGGGUGGCAGUGGAAGCUGCAGCCCCAAAGAGCUAUCCCUGCUGUAUCAAGGUGAAGCUAGAAAAAACUCCACCCACUGGCACCAGGAGGCACCUGACAGAAUUGACUCAAGAAGAUGGAGCUGGGAGGCCAAGGUGACCAGAGUUCAACGGGAACAUCAAACAAGCAUGUGGAGUGAUUAAAAACAUCUAGAAUCAGAUCUUUUAAAACAAUAGGGCUGGGGACAUAGCUCAGUUGGUAGAGUGCUUGUCUUGCAUGCACAACGCCCUGGGUUCAAUCCCCAGCACUACAGGAAAAAAAAAAAAUGCUCCCCUGACCACCACCACCAAAAAGAAGAAAAGCAGGGAAGAGAAGGCACACAGGAAGGAAAAAAGAGAAAUUAUAAAUAUAGCAAAAAUGAAGAAUUACUGAAUCUGGCUCAGUGCAGUGGCACAGCCCGUAAUCCCAGGAUCUCAGGAGGCUGAGGCAGGAGAUCACAAGUUCAAGGUCAGCCUCAGCAAUUUAGAGACCAUGUCUCAAAGUAAAAAGGGCUGGGGAUGUGGCUCAGUGGUUAAGUACCCCUCGGUUCAAUCUCUGGUAACUGUAAGGAGCGGCAGGAAAGCUCCGUAAAUUUAACAAGCCAAACAACCAUUUACCUGUCCAAGAUUUUAUUAGUGGGACCGUAGCAGCCGGUCACAGAAGAGAAGAAGUGGGGGAGAGAGAGAAUGAGCAUGGGGAGUUGGCUCUUACUUCUUUAUUGACCAAGGGUCCAUUUCUGGGCAGGACAGGGUAUUAGUCUCCUAGGGGUGGGAGGUCACAGUUUGCGCCAUUUCAGGGAUUGGAGGUGAUGGUUUGUGCCACUUAGGUGGUAGUUCACGCCAUUCAGUGCAUCAUGGACCUGAACUCCCGGAAGAGAUGCACUUCGGGCGCCAUCUUUACCAACAUUCCUCCCUUUUUUGUUUUGGUUUGGGGGCAUCAUACUAGUUCUGGCUUCUUCCUGCUAAGUAGGGGUGUUGUUUAGAGGGAGGGAGGUCAGUUGGUUGGAGAAGGAGGGCCAGGAGGCCCCACAUCCAUGUGCUGAAAGCAUGGAUUUCCUCCGGGGAGAAGUCCAUGAACGUGCCCUGCAACCACAAAUUGUUGGAUAUAAUGAGCCAUUCAUUGGGGUGGCCCAGGGGGAGAGAUAAGCCAACUAUCUUCCCCUAGGGCUUGUAAGAAUUGCAUGCAUCAGAGGGUAACAGGUGUCAUCUUCAUUAAGAGGAGGAUCAGAGGUACAGUGCAAGCCACAAAUCUGCAGCUACGAAAAGGAACAAAAGAGACAGCAUUAAUUUCUGGCAUGUCAUCCAUGUCAUCCAGGGCUGGUAGAUAAAAAGACCUAUGCUCAGGAGAAGGCAGGUUAGAACAUAUAUGGCUAAAAACCAAGGGCUUAUUUCUUUGGAAUGGUGGGGUAGAGAUGGCCCUUCGGUGGAGUUGUCAUUUGGUAUCUUCGUCUUUCAGCACUUGGUGGAGGCUUUUCAGUAUGAGUAGACAUAAGUGUUGUCCAGCUCAUUGGCAAGUAGCUGGUAAUCCCUGAGGAGGAACUGAUUGAAAGUUUGGUUAGAGAUUUUGUUAAUUUGUCCUUGAAGGAAUUUAAAAUGCAAAGAAGGAAGACACAGAAUAAAAAGACCCCAACUAGAGGUCCUAGCAUCGGGAGACUCCAGCAGAUAAGGGGUUUGUGAAGAGGUCCCAAUAGGAUUGUUGUACCAAUUGCAGCCUUCUUUUUUCUAGUUGUUCCUGUAGUUUUUUAAUCUUAUCUUUCACUAUCCCUGACUGAUUAACAUAAAACAACAUUCUUUCUGUAAGAAUGGGCAGAGGCCUCCUUUUUCCACUGUGAGUAGAUCUAAGCCUUGGUGGUUUUGUAGGACUACUGCUGCAAAGAAAUCUAAUUGAUUUUGGAGGGUAAGUAUGGGCUCAAUCACCUGUUGGAGGUCAUCUAUGAAUGAUUUGGACAAUUGAUUAUAGUAUGUGAGGGAGGUAGUCAAACCUGCUGUACCCAUUGGCAAGCCUGCUGUAAUUCCUAAAGUAGUGAGGAGAGGUAUGAAUUGGAUCGCCCUUUUGGGUCUUAUGUGUGUCAUGAGAGGGAUUGGUAUUUCUGUAUCUCCUGGAACUGUCUUUAUAGGGAAACAGGAGAACAAGAAUACAUGUGCAUGUUUCCAGUCAGGGGGCAGACAGCGGUAUACAGUUGUCCCACAUAAAAGUGAUGCCUUGAGACUGGUGGGCAGUGGGCCUUAUUACCCUUUGAUAGAGAUACGGGUCUGAGUGGGGUGCAUUUACCCCUAAAACUCCCGGAGGGAUUGCCGGACACUCAUCGGUCAAUUCCCUCAUUCUGGUGAGUUAGGGUUCAGGCGCUCAUGGGAUGGGGGAACUCACCGAUCCGCGAGUCAGUGGUGGAUGUCAGGCAGGUGAUCAGAGGAGUGGACUACGACAGGAACAGUUGGGCUCAGAGUUUGGGAGCCGGUUCUGCCUUGGGUGACAGGGAGAUCCCCCGUCCCAGGUUUGGGCAUCAAUGUAAGGAUCUUACAGUAACCCCUCCAAGAAAAAAAAAGAAAAAAAAAACUGGUGAAUCUGAAUAGUUAUUUGAGAAUUUUCUGCUUUAUUACAACUGUUCUAUAAAUUUGAAAUUAGUUCAAACUAAAAGGUUUAGGAAGAAAUUAGUAAAAGGAUACAAAGUUCCAGUUAGGAGGAAAACUGGAGAGGUCUGUUGUACAACCUGGUGACUACUGUUAACAAUGUAUUGUGUUCUUAAAAACUGCCAGAAUGGGGCUGGGGAUGUGGCUCAAGCGGUAGCGCGCUCGCCUGGCAUGCGUGCGGCCUGGGUUGAUCCUUAGCACCACAUACAAACAAAGAUGUUGUCACCCCCGAAAACUAAAAAAAAAUAAAUAUUAAAAAAAAAAAAAAACUGCCAGAAUGGAUGUUAGGGUGUUCUCACCUCACAGUGAGAUCAUGCACGUUGAUGGGCUAGAUUUCUCCAUUUCAGACCACUCAUAACAUACGUACUUUUAACAUAAUUGUGUACAUUACAUAAGCUAUAAUAAGUAUGUACACAAUAUGUACAAUUUACAUCAAUAUCAAGAACUUCUGUGCUGCAAACAGUACCAUCCAGAAAGUAAAAACAGCUGGGAAUGUAGCUCCGUGGCAGAGGCGGAGACAAGGAGUUUUACUCCCACUGCUGGGAGGGGUUAAAAAAGACAAAAGGAGGGUGAAAAUACUGGCUAAACCAUCCAUCUGCUAAGGAACCUUCGGACUGCCUAGAGCUAGUCUAGCCCCCCUCCCGGGCUCCCGAGACCGCGAGCACCGCCCCAGCCCUUCCCUGGCCCGUCUUUCUGAGCGCCUCACAUUCUUCCCAGAGCUGGAGCCCGAAGGCUCCAAACUGGCUGCGCGCUCUGCUUGCGCCGGGAGGUACACCCUCCGGGAGUGUCCGUCCCUGCCCCCAGUCCUGAGCCCCCGGAAGCAGCUGCUCCCUGCCCCCCACCUCCGGGGCGCCGCUCUAGGACAUCUGGAGGGCUUCAAGUCGGUGGUCACGGAAGCUGAGCCCGGAGGAGUCCUUAGUCACUCUGGCGUAGGGCCCUGGGUCCGGCCCUCUAGAGGCUGCUCUUAGCUUGGCAGAGCCCAGCCCUGGACACUCCUCCUGGAAUUGGGAAGGCUGCUUUUCCGAGAGUCAGCCUGCCAAGGAUCCCAGCUCAACCCUGAAGAAGGAAAGUGACUUCAGAGCAACCGACCCGGUGUAGGAGGUUGUCUUGACCUAGUUAUGCAGUCAGCAUAGGUCAGACACCACUUGUGUCUUUCUACAAUGUCAGAAUUUACUGAAUAACAAUAAACUCACACCUUCAUAGGUUUCAAUUCACUGAAUACUCGUGGGUCAGUCAUUUGGUAGUCAUGAGCCAGGUGAUCACAGGUUAUUUUAUUACAGUCUUAAUUACUAACAUUUAUAAGGUGCAAGUAACAUACCACACUUUAAACAAAUACAGAAAGACUAAAUUAAGGCAGCCUCGGAUUACAGGACACUUCACCGAGCAAAUGGGCAGGGAGCAGAUGAAAAUACAAAAGCAUCACUGCAGAUAGUCAGAUCUGUCAUGGGCCAGAGGUCAGAACUUACCCUAGGCACAGGUAUGGAAGGCAGGCAGUUUCAAAGUGUCAGCUUGAAGUCCUUGCCUACAGGAGAAACCAAAGGAGCUGAAGUUCCUGGGGAAGAAAGUAAGAGAAUCUUGCUGUGGCAAUUUUCCUGGGCAGGGCUCAUGAGGAAUGAUCAAGUAAUAGGGUCAGUGUGUUGCCAUUUCCAGUCUUGGGGGG
rnacentral:lncRNA from 1 species